GGAAGAGGCAGGAGUGGCCCAAAGUUCUCGCGCCGUGGUGUCUUUUCAAAGUUUGUAGAAUCGUGUGUGCUAUUGUGAAAAGGCGGUGUGUUAUCGUGUGUGGCUUCGUGCAAUUAAAGGUUUCUUGCCAAGCCGUUAAUCCGUCCGUGGCACCACAAUCGAACUCCCAGUGGCCAUUUCUGACCCCACCAUCAGGCUCAGAAGUUCUCCC